AUACGGAGGACGCGAGCGUUAUCCGGAUUCAUUGGGUUUAAAGGGUGCGCAGGCGGCCGUGCAAGUCAGCGGUGAAAGCCCGGGGCUCAACCCCGGAAGUGCCGUUGAUACUGCAUGGCUGGAAUGCGGUCGAGGCGGGCGGAACGUGGCGGGGAGCGGUGAAAUGCGUAGAUAUGGCACAGAACGCCGAUAGCGGAGGCAGCUCGCCAGGCCUGCAUUGACGCUCGGGCACGAAAGCGUGGGGAUCGAACAGGAUUAGAUACCCUGGUAGUCCACGCCGUAAACGAUGGGUGCUCGUCGUCGGCGACAGACAGUCGGCGGCCAAGCGAAAGCGAUAAGCGCCCCACCUGGGGAGUACGGUCGCAAGGCUGAAACUCAAAUGAAUUGACGGGG
rnacentral:rRNA from 1 species